rnacentral:ncRNA from 1 species
UUUUGGAAGGGUGCAAUAAUAAGUGCAAACCAGUCAUCUUCUCGUUUGCCGACUCUGAAUAACGCAGCAUAUCGGCGGACUGUCGGGCUCUAUCAACCUAAUGGUAGCCUAUUAGUCUGCCAUGAUUAUUACGGGUAACGUAGAAUAAGGUUUCGACACCGAAAAGGAAGCCUUAGAAACGGCCACCAUAUCCAAGGGAACAGCAGGCGCGAAACUUAUCUAAUUUUGAAUAGAUUACAUAGUAAAUAAAAUGAGAAGACCAUUCCUACUGAACCGUCAUUCCAAUGAGUUGAUCAUAAACCUUUUUCAAGGAUCAAGUGGAGGGCAAGUGUGGUGCCAGCAGCCGCGGCAAUUCCAGCUUCACU